GUCCAUGCCGUAAACGAUGAAUGCUAGGUGUUGGAGGGUUUCCGCCCUUCAGUGCCGCAGCUAACGCAUUAAGCAUUCCGCCUGGGGAGUACGACCGCAAGGUUGAAACUCAAAGGAAUUGACGGGGGCCCGCACAAGCGGUGGAGCAUGUGGUUUAAUUCGAAGCAACGCGAAGAACCUUACCAGGUCUUGACAUCUAGCGCCAAUCCUAGAGAUAGGACGUUCCCUUCGGGGACGCUAAGACAGGUGGUGCAUGGUUGUCGU
rnacentral:rRNA from 1 species